rnacentral:rRNA from 1 species
GACGAACGCUGGCGGCGUGCUUAACACAUGCAAGUCGAACGGAAAGGCCCUGCUUUUGUGGGGUGCUCGAGUGGCGAACGGGUGAGUAACACGUGAGUAACCUGCCCUUGACUUUGGGAUAACUUCAGGAAACUGGGGCUAAUACCGGAUAGGAGCUCCUGCUGCAUGGGGGGGGUUGGAAAGUUUCGGCGGUUGGGGAUGGACUCGCGGCUUAUCAGCUUGUUGGGGGGGUAGUGGCUUACCAAGGCUUUGACGGGUAGCCGGCCUGAGAGGGUGACCGGCAGCAAUGAGACUGAGAUACGGCCCAGACUCCUACGGUAGGCAGCAGUGGGGAGUAUUGCACAAUGGGCGGAAGCCUGAUACAGCAACGCCGCGUGCGGGAUGACCGCCUUCGGGUUGUAAACCGCUUUCGCCUGUGACGAAGCGUGAGUGACGGUAAUAGGUAAAGAAGCACCGGCUAACUACGUG